GUUGAUGUGAUUUUCUAUAUAUAAUUGGUGUGCGUUUAGUUCUUUAAAUUCUGGGAAUGUGCUUUUUCUUGUCAAAUUUUGACAUUUUUAGCUUCUUGAUGAUUUAUAGCCUUUCUGGUGUUCUUGUAAACGCAUGCCAUAGUUCUUUUAAUGCCUUUUACUGUCUUUGAUGUGCGUAUACUUUGUUUUAGUUCUAGUGGAACCUUGAAUCAGUAUCUCUAUUCGUUUGUUUAUAUUUUCUCUUAAUUCUUUUGAUUGAUAAUUUGUUGAACGUAAUUUGUGUUUAGGAUGUUUUAAGAUGUCAA
rnacentral:misc_RNA from 1 species